AGUGUGUGAAUGAGUUCCCCUCAAUUUUCUUACCAGUCCCUUUAUUCCAUGAGAGCCAAGAAUCUAGAGGCGACAUCCCACAUCGCCUCCGAAGUGCAAAUAAAUCGGCGAUAUUUGAGGGUUGGAGAGACUGAUAAGCACGACCUUACUUGAACAGGAUCUGUUCUAUAGGCUCGUACCUCUGUAUUCUUGAUUCCUAAGAAGACAGAAACCCAUGUCUGGUUGAUGAACCACGACCAUGUAACCAGAGCGUGAUUAACAGAGCUUCAUGGUCUCGGCUAUGGCUCAGUAGAUGAUCGUUGCUAAUCCAUCUGAUGGGUCCUGGCAUGGCUACAUGGUUGUCUGACAGAUAACUUCAUCUUUUUUUUGGUCCCUUUUCUAAUGCAAACCAAGUGUUUGAUGAAAUGCCUGAAGGAGAUUAUGAUCAAAGAGUCUUUAUUAUGCUGUCAUUUUCGUGAUAUUCUUGCUCAUCCAGGUUAUGUGGCCAGUUUGUAUAUGCAAAACAAGUGUUCGAUUAAAUGCCUGAACCAGGUUAUGAUGCUGGAGCUUUCUGGUAUGAUUUUGGCUUCAUCAAGUUCCAUUAGCAUUGUAACGAGCUAAGAAAAACAACAAUGCUACUAUGAUACUUGGAAUCAUAGUUUCUGUAACAAGAGCAGCAGGACACUGCAUCCUGUUAAGCGAUGAUGGGAGACACUCCACUGGGCGGCUCUGGUGUCAACACUGACCCGUCAUCACAUCCAAAUAAGAUUUUGUGUAUUUCUGUUGUGUAGGUGUAUUAUCUUGAUGGAGAAUCGAUUUUAGAGGUGUCCCUUUGUUGCUUUAGUUCACUGACACCGAGGAUACGUGAAUUGGUUGUUCGAUCGUGUUUAGUAGGAGGAACACUUGUUUGUUGUCUUUAGAUUGCGAGGAUUUUGGUGCUUGUUAUUUUAUAAAUGAAUAUUGAUGGCUUAA